CUCUAUAUAAGGAGCAAUGUGUCACUUCAGCUUUGUGGAGUGUCAUUAGCCAUGGACAAAAUUGUGUUGGUGCUCCUGCUGUGUCUGCAGGCCUUACUGCUCACCACUGCGUUGGAUUCAGAUAAGGCCGCCACUUUGUUGACGGACAAUCGGCAACUUAUCAAGAAAAGAGCUACACCAAGAAUAAGACUACCAUACCGUUUUCCAGGAACAUUCACACUUAUAGGAAGAGUUGCAUCAAGAAGACUAAGAAGAUCAUACUGCUAUCGAAGACCAGGAGCAUGCUCACUUUUAGUAAGGCCGGCGCCAAAACAGGACAGAAACAAGACGGAAGUCGCCCACGCCUAGCGUGCCAAGCAUGACUUUGACAACUUACAGAAGCUCUGUUUGUUGUUUCUCUCUGCUCUCUAAAGCUAGCUUUUUAAAGACUGUCUGUCUGUUGUGUUGUCGUGGUGGGGAGAAGAAGUGGAUAUGUUCAUAAAGUGUGUAAACACCCUAUCCAGCUAAAUAUUCUCAUGCAAUGCACUGCUGAUUAAACAUCUGGAACAAGCA